rnacentral:piRNA from 1 species
UCACAGCAGAUGGUGUGAAUGUGUGUC